rnacentral:rRNA from 1 species
UACAGAGGUCUCAAGCGUUGUUCGGAUUCAUUGGGCGUAAAGAGCUCGUAGGCGGUGUGUCGCGUCGGCCGUGAAAACCUGCAGCUUAACUGUGGGCUUGCGGUCGAUACGGGCAUCACUGGAGUUCGGCAGGGGAGACUGGAAUUCCUGGUGUAGCGGUGAAAUGCGCAGAUAUCAGGAGGAACACCGGUGGCGAAGGCGGGUCUCUAGGCCGAUACUGACGCUGAGGAGCGAAAGCGUGGGGAGCGAACAGG